ACGUAGGGGGCGAGCGUUGUCCGGAUUCAUUGGGCGUAAAGCGCGCGUAGGCGGCCCGGUAAGUCGGGUGUGAAAUCCUGAGGCUCAACCUCAGGACUGCAUCCGAUACUGUCGGGCUAGAGGUAGGUAGGGGAGAUCGGAAUUCCUGGUGUAGCGGUGAAAUGCGCAGAUAACAGGAGGAACACCGGUGGCGAAGGCGGGUUGCUGGGCCGACACUGACGCUGAGGCGCGAAAGCUAGGGGAGCGAACGGGA
rnacentral:rRNA from 1 species